CCCCUGGAGGGGAGAGGUCGGAGGUCCCCGGAUCUACAGGAGGAGGAAGAAGGAGACUCGAUUCUUUUGCUCGAGCAAGUUCCUGCAUUAAAUGGUUGGAAAUACGUAAAGCCUUUAUGAGUGUCUGCCGCAGAGCAAGGGUAGGUUACCUGUGUCAUUAUCACCGUGUAUCAUUAAAUGCCAGGCUUGAUGAGUUCUGGAAAGAAGACGUGAACUCUGCCCUCAAGAGCCUCACAGUCCAAUGAGGAAAAGAAAUAUGUGAACAACAGUCUUUAGAGCCGUCAGCGCUAUUAAAACGGUGUGUACAAGGCAUUUGGGAAAUUCAGCUGGAGGAGAAGACUGCACUGUGGUGUCGCAUCUCUUUCUUAAUGUCCUACCUCAGAUAUGUAUAGGAAAUGCUGAUGAGAUCCUGGCGGUGAGAAUCCCAGACAGUCAGGAAAGACGUGUUUUUGAACAGGUGACCCUCCAGUGAACUUCGGGUGGCACUACAACAGAAGCCUUCCCCCUCGCAGCAGCCCUGGAAACACUUGCCGGCCAGUGGAGAAGUAAACUGGUGUAGUCCUACGCUGGAAACCACUCACAGCGAAGAGGAACAAACUCCUGAUACAUGAAACAACAUUUGAAGGGUUUGGAAAGCCAUGGCCCUCCGGCUGGCUACCUGCAUUUGUAAAUAAAGUUUUAUUGGAACAGCCACACCCAUUCAUUUAUCUAAUG